rnacentral:piRNA from 1 species
UAUGACACUGAGGGAGACUGCU